rnacentral:rRNA from 1 species
CAAAAACAUAGCCGUGUGCUACUACUCACGGUGUUUUCUGCUCAAUGAGUUGUUAAAUAGCCGCAGUACCCUGACUGUGCAAAGGUAGCGUAAUCAGUUGUCUUCUAAUUAAAGUCUCGUAUGAAGGAAUAUAUGGGGGCCUUCUUUACCCGUGGCAAAAAAAGAACUUACUAAGUGAGUGCAAAUACUCACGAUAUUAAAAAGACGAGAAGACCCUAGAAAUUUUCAAUAUCUUUUUGUUGGGGCAACAUAGUAACACGUAAUUUACUAUAUGUAUAUGAAACAUGGUGGGAAGUAUAAAUUACUCUAGGGAUAACAGCAUAAUUUAUAAACGUUUGUGACCUCGAUGUUGGAUUAGGAAGUUAUAACUCAAAAGGUUGUUAAUCUUGCUCUGUUCGAGCA